AAAUUACUGUUGGGCAAUUGAUAAAAAAGUAAAUAAUCAUGACGAUAUCCAAGGAAAUGAUCAUAUAUAUAGGCAUCACGUUCGAGACAAGUAGACCGAAACGAUUCUGCAUCUACUACUAUUACUCCACACACCGACCGCUAUCCAACAUGCAUCUAGAGUAUUAAGCUCAUAAAGAACAGAGUAAUGCCUUAAGCAAGAUGACAUGAUGUAGACAAAGUAAACUCACGCAUGAAUAAACCCCAUUUUUUAUCCUUAAUGACAACGAUACAAAUACGUGUCAUGUCCCUUUCUCUGUCACUGGGAUUAAGCACCGUAAGGUCGAACCCAUCAAAGCACCUAUCCCAUUUUAAAAAAAAUCAAUCUAGUUGGCCAAACCAAAUUAAUAGAUUGGAGAGAAAUACAAAGCUAUAAUAAUCAUGCAUAAAAGAGUUCAAAGAAGACUCAAAUAAUAUUCAUGGAUAAUCUGAUCAUAAACUCACAAUUCAUCGGAUCCCAACAAACACACCGCAAAAAGUGAUUACAUCGAAUAGAACUCCAAAAACAUCGAGGAGAACAUUGUAUUGAAGAUCAAAAAGAGAGAGAGAGAGCCAUCUAGCUACUAAAUAUGGACCCGCAGAUCUGUUUGUGAACUACUCACACAUCAUCGGAAGGGCAACAAGGUUGAUGUAGAGCCCCUCCGCGAUUGAUUCCCCUCCGACAGAGUGCCAGAAAAGGCCUCCAGAUGGGAUCUCACAAGAACAGGAACUUGCGGCAGCGGAAAAAGUAUUUUGUGUGGCUCCCUGUUGGUUUCCCGAUUUUACAGAAUUGAUAGAGGCGGAAUUAGGUCAAACAGAGCCUCGUGGGCCCCACGAGCCACCAGGGCGCGCCUACCCCCUAAGCAUGCCCUGGUGCCUUGUGGGCCCACGCUUCAUCUUCUGUCCCUCUCCUGAAGCUUCUAGUGUCUCUUUUGUCCAGAAAAAUCUCCAACAAGUUCCGUGGCAUUUGGACUUCGUUUGGAACUGAUAUUCUGAAAACCAAAAACAGGCAAAAACAACUGGCACUGGGCACUAAGUUAAUAGGUUAGUCCCAAAAAUGAUAGAUAAUUGCUUGUAAAUGCAUAUAAAACAUCCAAGAUUGAUACUAUAAUAGCAUGGAACAAAAAAAUUAUAGAUACAUUGGAGGCGUAUCAGAAUCCGAGUCAAUGCAACUACAAAUGGUUAUCAUGCAAUUUCUACCUCGACAUAGAUCUGAAAAAUGGUACUAAAAGAAAAUAAUUUUUCAAGAACUUAGGGUAGCAGUAUGAACUCUAGAGAGCUAAAGUGGAUUUCCUUGAGACAAUAAAGGGAAUCUACGAAGAAGACAAGUGCAUUGCGGAGGAAGUAUGGGUCCUUGUGGAUCCAAAUCGAUUUAUGAUCCAAAUCCGCUAUUACAAUGAACAACAAAGGAAUUCUGAAUUUCCUUGAGACAAUAAAGGGAAUCUACAAAGAAGACAAGUGCACUGCGGAGGAAGUAUGGGCCCUUGUGGAUUCAAAUCGAUUUAUGAUCCAAAUCCGCUAUUACAAUGAACGACAAAGGAAUUCUGAAGAACUCGGGGUGAACUAUGGAGGUUUGGCUGAAAAGAGGAGCACUCACAAAUCUAUGGAGCGAGGUUUGAAGAUGACGAAGGUCGCGGAGUGCCCGCGGUGUUCCCGGAGUUCUCCAGCGACAUUUGUAGCGGGGAAGAGGUUGCUGUUGAUGUGGCUAAUGAGCUCAAGAGGGCGGCGGAGAUUUGGUCACAAAGAAUAGAGAGCGCGAGGAAGAAGACGAGCCUGGAGGUGGAGAUGGUAAAAGUGAGCCUUGGUGGCCCGUUGCUCUAUUUAUAAGAGAAGGAGAAACCCAAGCGGCAAGCACGAAACUCUAGGAGGCACAAUAAAUUAUGGCUAAAAAGACUCCUCAAUUAUCGCACCUGACAAACCCACUCAAAGAACUGUUGUGAUGUCACACAUGAGUAUCGACGAUCGGUGACGUGAUGUCACGGUAUCGAAAGCACAUAAAUGAUAAUUGUGGAACUAGCCGCAAGACCCCGCGAAUAAGUUUGACCCGGCCGGGCACGUCAUAAGAGCGGAACAAGAGGCAAUGGAGGGAUGAGAAGAUGAUGUCUUGAGAAAUAAACCCAUAGCUUAAUCCUUCAACUUUUUUGUUUCUUCGGGGCCAGUUUAAGAAGAAGGCCCAUACAGAAUCACCCAACUUGGGAAGCAAGACAUAUAGAAGUUAGAGUAGGAUACAUGUUGUUACUACGUCCCCGAAUCUAUUGUAAAUCUAGGGACUCGACCUAUUAUAUAAAGGGGAGCCCCUAGAACGAAAAGACCAAGUUACGAUCAAUCGAGAGCUAGGUUAGCGAAUCUGCAUCCUUGUAAUCGAGAUUUCCAGCAAUAUCAGUCAAGCGGGAAGUAGGUCUUGACCUCCACUAUGAGGGGCCGAAUUUGGGCAAACUCGUGUCCUUCGUUCCCGAUCAACCUCAUUCAAGCGACCACCUAGUUGCGAUGGCCUCCAGACUUAGUCCUUUCACAAGGAUAUCUGCCGUGGCAAAACCACGACACCUCUGAUCUUGAACAUUAUUUGUGAGUAGUUAUUUUUGUUCUUGAGGACAUGGGAGAAGUCUGGUUAUAAGUAAUCAUGUGAAUUUGGUUUUCGUUCGAUAUUUUGAUGAUAUGUAUGUUGUUGCUUCCUUUAGUGAUGUCAUGUGAACGUCGACUAGAUGACACUUCACCAUACUUGGGCCUAAGAGAAAGCAUUGUGGAGUAAUAAGUAGAUGAUGGGUUGCUAGAGCGAAAGAAGAUUAAACCCUAGUUUAUGCAUUAUUCCGUAAGGGGCUGAUUUGGAUCCAUAUGUUUCAUGUUAUGGUUAGAUUUAUCUUAAUUCUUCUUUCUGUUGCAGAUGCUUGCGAGAGGGGGUAAUGAUAAGUAAGAGGCUUGUUCAAAUAAGAGCAGCACCCAAGCACGGGUCCACCCACAUAUCAAAUUAUUAAAGUAGCGAACGCGAAUCCAACAAACAUGAUGAAAGUGACUAGACGAUAAUUCCCAUGUGUCCUCAAGAACAUUUUGCUUAUUAUAAGAGACCGUUCUCGCUUGUCCUUUGCAAUAAAAAGGAUUGGUCCAGCUUGCUGCACUUUUAUUACAAUUUCUACUUGUUGCUCGUUACAAAUUACCUUGCCAUCAAACUAUCUGUUACCGAUAAUUCCAGUGCUUGUCGAUAAUACCUUGCUGAAAACCGAUUGUCAUUUUCUUUUGCUCCUCGUUGGGUUCGACACUCUUACUUAUCGAAAGGACUACGAUUGAUCCCAUAUUCUUGUGGGUCAUCAGAAAUGCCUCUAGUUGGUAAUCCUCGUGACAAAGCCAUCAUAAAGAUGGACAAAUUUUGGUCUGAGAAAGCUGGAAGAGUCAGUCUCUAGCCAAAGAGGAAGAACUAUUGCUUACCUACACAAAUGUAGAUGACAAAGACAGGUUUCAACUUUCUUUUAUGGAGGUUCUUUUAUGUUCUUAUUUGGCUCCAACAACUAGUAACCUAAUCAACAGAAGCUAUGUCUUGGGAGCAUUGUCAAAUUUUACUAAGAUCCCUAAGAUGAAUUGUUGUCCUUUUGUCGUUCAAUAUCUCAUUCGAGAUAUCAAACAGACGGGGAUUAAGGAGAACAUCAACCUGCAAGGAUGCCUUCACAUCCUUGUCGUAAUGCUCUUUUCACAAUUUUAAUGUUAUGCUUAGUCCAAAUUGUUUUGAUGGCUUUUCUGAUCUCUCAUUCGUAUUCCGAUCGCAUAGAAAGUCAUUAGAUCAAAAAAAAUGUGAGAAUGUAGUUACAAAUGUCAAAGAAGUCAAUAUCUCAUUAUCUUGUUCCAUAGAUGGGGCGUCCUAUCCGAUGGAUGAAUGAGGAGCCUCUGUCGAGCAGUGAAAUGAUAGGAUUCUACUUUCCGGUUAAACGAAACACGACUCAACGAUCCAAGCCAAGAGUGCGGGCACCUUAAGAGCAGUCAAAACUGGAAUUCGAAGAAUAUCGCGAAGUGGCCGCCUUAGCUCAAUUUGAGUCAGACGUUGAUGUUGCGACUCGGGCAUUACUCAAUAGAGGUGCAAGGCUUACAGAAGUGCCCAAACAACCACAAUAUGAACCACUUCCAAUUGAAAAACAAAUUGUUGUGAUUUAUGUUGCCGUCAACGACUUCUGUGAUUGAAUGCCACUAGACAGAAUUUCUCAAUAUGAAAAAGCCAUUCUAAGUAUUAUUAAUCCAGAAUUACAAAAAUCCUUCUUAGAAAAUGGUGGCUUAACUAACGAAAGAAAGAUGGAACUAGAUGCUUCUUUAAAAUUAAGCACUUUGCCUUACGUGUGAAUUAAUAAAAAAAAAGGUUGCCCCUUACUCGCAAAUGUAGGAAGGACUUUCUUGCCAACUGAACCCCAAUGCUAUUUUUGACUUUUUCACAUAAUUACUACAAAUAGAUUUCCGUGCCAUGUGUAAACCAAGCUGCUGAGAGUCUACCCAACCACAGGGGGGCUGAUCUAGUAGUUCAUGAUACCCCACCUAGCUCCACAAGGGUUGACAAAAUCCCGAACUAUAUUUAUGCCUGAUGAUUUUCAAUCCACAACCCAUAUGACAAGCCUUGCAAAUUGUGUUAAUAUGUAUCAAUUUAGUGGUCUGUAUAUCCCAACAUUAGAAAAUUAUGGAGGUGUAGACCCAAGUACUUCGAAUCAUCAACAAGAAAUCCAAGAAAGAACAGUGAAGGAAAGUUGUGACAAGAAAAGUGUUUUUCUCGACUCGAGAUGUUAGAAGGUGCUAAAUCAAUAUGUGCAAGAAAAGUGUUUUUCUCGACUUGAGAUGUUAGAAGGUGCUAAAUCAAUAUGUGCCAGAGCUGCUAUCGGUAUUGGAAACAUCCUUAGUUCUUUGAUUCAUUCCGUGGUGCAAAAUCCAUCAUCAUUGGCUAAACAACCAUUUGGUUAUGCCAUUUUGGGCUUUGCACUCACCGAAGCUAUUGCAUUCUUUGCCCCCAAUGAUGGCUUUUCUGAUCUCAUUCGUUUUCCGACCGCAUAAAAAAUGAUGAGAUCAAAAAAGAAAUAUGAGAGCGUAAUUACAAAAGCCAAAGCCAAUAUCUCAUUAUCUUGCUACAUAGAUGGGGCGUCCUAUCCCAUGGAUGAAUGAGGAACCUCCGUCGAGUAGUGAAAUGAUAGGAUUCUACUUUUCGGUUAAAUCGAAACACGAGGCAACGACUCAAGACAAGAGUGCGAGCACCUUAACAGAGGUCAAAUCUAGAUGCUAUAUCAUUUUUUUGACACGGAGGCAAAAGCUUUGCCUCAUCUUAUUAAUAAAGAAGAAGAGAGUUGUCCGGUUAAUUAACGGAAAACCGGACGAAAACCAAACCGGACGAAAACCGUUACAACACGCCCACACAGGACACACCAGGCGACCUGGCAACCCACACAAGAACGCACACACGUCGCAAAGGAGAGAACGCCGUCGAGGUUGCAACCCAGUGCCAUCGUCAUCACACCUCCAUGAGGGCGACUCCGACUCCACCAUCGAUGUAGCCCACACCUGAAGCAAACGCCGAGGCCUGCAUCGGCCAAAGCCAAAUAGUCAACCACACGCGUCGGCAAUCGACAACUCCGACUCCGUCGACGAGCAUUGCAGGAGAAAAAGCACUGAGCCAGCGCCGGAACCGACCACCCGCCUCACGUCAUCAUCGUCGCAAGGGCCCCUCCUCAGCAGCUCCGACUCUAGAAAGACAAUGUGAGGCUCGACAACCCCUCGAACACGCCGGAUGAGACCGACUUCCAAAACUCAGAUGCAAACCAACUCUGCCCAAAGCCGCCAUCGUUGCCACACAAGAAGCCACGCCAACCAUCCACAUCGCCAGCCGAGCACCUGCCGACUGCGAUGUUGUGCGCGUCCAGCUCCGGGAAAGCGCGAAGGGGGGCCGAUGACCUUCAAGGCGACGCCCCCAAGGGGGUAGCGACGUGAGAGAACGACGCCAUCGCCCGACACACAGUGGAGUCUUAGGCUUUCGCCCGAAUGUCAUGGUCCGAAGGCGCUGNNNNNNNNNNNNNNNNNNNNNNNNNNNNNNNNNNNNNNNNNNNNNNNNNNNNNNNNNNNNNNNNNNNNNNNNNNNNNNNNNNNNNNNNNNNNNNNNNNNNNNNNNNNNNNNNNNNNNNNNNNNNNNNNNNNNNNNNNNNNNNNNNNNNNNNNNNNNNNNNNNNNNNNNNNNNNNNNNNNNNNNNNNNNNNNNNNNNNNNNNNNNNNNNNNNNNNNNNNNNNNNNNNNNNNNNNNNNNNNNNNNNNNNNNNNNNNNNNNNNNNNNNNNNNNNNNNNNNNNNNNNNNNNNNNNNNNNNNNNNNNNNNNNNNNNNNNNNNNNNNNNNNNNNNNNNNNNNNNNNNNNNNNNNNNNNNNNNNNNNNNNNNNNNNNNNNNNNNNNNNNNNNNNNNNNNNNNNNNNNNNNNNNNNNNNNNCGAGCACCCGCACGCAACCGGUGGUGCAGCACCACCGAUCCGCAAGCCCGCUGUCCCACACACCUCCUACGCGACGACGGCGCCACCAUCACGCAUGAGCCGCCAUCCUCAUCGCCAGCACCCGCCGGCGAGCCGAAGCCAGCCAAACCGGCCAGAUCUGGCGCCCACCACCGCACUGCAACGGAGACCACCAAGCUUCACGAGAGCAGGGGGAGGGCUGCCACCACACCCCCACACGCCGGAGAGACACCCAGCCGAAGCCUCCGGAGUCGCCGACGCCGCCAGAAGCGCUGCGAGGGAAGCGGCAGGUCGCCCACCGUGCAGCCGAAGGUGGCUGAGCCUCCCCAUCACCCACUACGCUGCCAGCCAUGCCGGGCCAGCCAGGACCGCAGCACCAAGCCAGGGAGGGGGGCGCCACCCCGCCCCAUCCCGCCGAGCAGGAAAUACGGGCCGAAGCCCGCGUGUCCCGCCGCAGCCGCUGCUCCGCUAGAAAGGCGUCGAGCAACCGCCCGCCCACACCGCCAUUGCCAGAUCCGCGUAGCCAGGAGCCGCCGGAGCGCCGCGAGGGGUCGGAUCUACGCCGUCAGGGGCCGCCGGAGAGCCGCCGACCUGCAGAACCCGAGCCCCCACCACCACAUGCGCGCCGCAAGAACGAAUCCCGUCGCUGCCGGCCGCCGAGGGGCUUUGCCCUCAGGCGUGCGCCGACGACGGCGAGGGGAUGGGAUGGGAUGGGGGAGCGGGGGCGCCGGCGCUGGGUUUUCCGCCCGUGUCACCCCGAGGAGCGACGCGGGGGCAGUCUCCCAUCUUAGCUGGAAUGAAAGACCCUAUGAGUAUUUUGGUACCGCAUUCCAAUCUUCUUAGUCAGUUGUGUACUUUUCCACUGGGAGAGAUCCACGUCAUCGGAAUUCAAGGCAUGUAUUUUUUUUCUAUUUUCCCAAGGAAAAAUGUCAAAUUGUGUGUUUUCACAUUUUUAUAAGACAUAAAGUUUUGGAAAAUGGAGCUGCCAUUUUCACUAUUUUGGUGCCUAACGAUAUUAUUGCUUAAACUAACAUAGAAAGUGGAUUCAGACACUUUAAAGUGCCCUCCCAAGUGUCAUCUCAUAAUACAGAAAAGGAAGAGAGUGAUAUUUCAUUCACAUGGCAACGGUGUGAUUCAAUUUACUUGCUUGUGCGAUAAUAAUUGAUCAACUUGCGCUCCAAGAUGUGAGCUGCAUCACGCAACGAGAGCCAACGGGAGCCCUCUCUGCCUCACUGCUCCUGGGCCCGGCCCUCUCUUCCUCUCCACCGCUUUCCCCUUCUCCGCAAGACACCUGCCCUCCUCUCGCCUCCGUUCUCUUUCCUCUCCCCACCUGCCCUCCUCGACGGCUCCCCCUCCUUUCUCUCCCCUCUCGGCACCGGACCUCCUCCCGCUCCGCUCGUCGGCGUGCGAGGUACGGCAGAAUUCGGUCUCUGUUCCUACCUAUGUGCUGCUGUUCUAUAGUCAUCCGUUAUCCGAUCAUCUGACCGAACCGCAGGUCCGCAGCAAUGGUAGAAGGGGGAAAGGCUGCAGCCGUGGCGGCCAGUGGGGGGAGCGGAGCCGGAGCCGUACAGAAGAAGCGGGUCACGGAUUCGUCCAGGGCCGCGCCGGUUGAGCCGGAGUUGGACAAGGAUGAAGAUGUGAACGAGAUCGUGGACCUAGAGAACCAGUGGCGGACCCAGGAUUGGCUGACGUCCCAGGCGAGAAACUAAGGGCUAAAUACUACCCAAAAAAAACUCCAGUUCCAAGGCAUACAAAAGUCAAUCUAUCUUGCAUAACUAAUAAGAAACCAAACAUAAUAUUCAAUGGCAGCAUUUGUUCCAUGAUGGGUCAACUAAUAAAGCAAGACAAAUCAAAAGACUAUAUGUAGCAUAUAUAGAUGAUACAAAAAAUUGAUACCAAAUCAAAGGAUUGGUUGAUCUGAGCCUCCCAUGGGUCUAACAAACAGUGGCAUCUAGCAACUAAAAUCAUCAUAAAAAAUUACUCAAAACAGUUGAUUUGAAGUUAUGCUUCCUUACAAAAGAACUUGGUUCUUCUACACUAUGCUAUUCUGCCACAUGUAUCACCAAAUACAUGGCUUCCCUUUUCUGCCUAUUCGGCACAAAGCUUUGUCCUAUAGUAACAUAAGAAAGAAAGAAACAUGGGUCUAAUUUGAACAUUUAUAACCAUCUUUCAGCACUAAUUUAAGCUGUUGCCAACUUUUGCAAGACCUAACUUGGUGUGCUAACAAAAUACAAGUAAUAGAUUAAGGCAGCUUUUAUUUCUUUCCAAACGGCCAUCAAGUCUUCUUCUGCUAUUUAAUCACAAUUUUUUCUUCAAGUACUGAAAUUUGUCUCGUAGCUUUGCGCUGUGCCACGGCUGAUUUAAAAGAUCAAACAGAAGAUUCAUUACCCUGACUACUGCAAGGUUUAAGGUAUGCUAUGCUAUCCAACAGCUUCAUGAAGACUACAUGGUCAUGAAUAGAAUGUGUAUUCACUCAUGGCAUUUAAGUUAUUUCUCCAGUUAAAGCAGAAACAGUUUCUCAAUGCAUAAUUUAUACUAUUCAUGGCAUUACAGAACUGACCAGAACCCUGUGCAGAUAAUGACUUGGCCAAGUUUUGGAGUCCUCUUAUAUCAUUAACCUUGUUCUUCUUCAGAGUUGAAUUAGUAGAGUCCAAGUGGCUGGGAUACUGGCUGGGAUGAAUGUGCACAACAGCACAAGAGCAUUUGCAAAAGCCUAGAAGUACAUAAAAAAAAGUAACAAAUGUAACAGAUGAGACUAACAAUACAAUCAGGGGUCAUUCAGAAUACAAAGUUGCAGUUCAAGCAGCACAAUAGACUUCUCCAGAAAAUUUAAUCACAAAGAGCUAAUCAUACUGACAUGUAGCCUCGCGCCCUAGCCGCCGUAGCUGCCUAGCCGGGGUCGCCGCCUCGCGCCCUCGCCGGACAGGCCAGCAGCCGGCAGCGGCGCAACCUGACGCGGGGACGCCGCAGAAGCAGAAGGGAGCGAAG
rnacentral:lncRNA from 1 species